rnacentral:rRNA from 1 species
GGAUUCCCCUAGUAAUGGCGAAUGAAGCGGGAACAGCUCAAAUUUGAAAUCUCCGUCGCCUGCGACGGCGAAUUGUAGUUUCGAGAAGCACUUUCUAGGCGAUCCGGGGCCGUCCAAGUUGCUUGGAACAGCACGUCAUAGAGGGUGACAACCCCGUCUGUGGCGGAACCGGCCGCUGACGAUGUGCUUUCGACGAGUCGGGUUGUUUGGGAAUGCAGCCCAAAAUGGGUGGUAAACUCCAUCUAAAGCUAAAUACUGGCACGAGACCGAUAGCGAACAAGUACCGUGAGGGAAAGAUGAAAAGCACUUUGAAAAGAGAGUUAAAAAGUACGUGAAACCGUUAAAAGGGAAACGAAUGAGGUUAGCAAUGCGUUCCGCGAGAUUCAGCCGGUGGUUGGGCUGGGCGGGAGGUUUGCGGAUCCGAAUGGACCGCUGCCUCUCGGAUCGGUCCCUCGACCGUCGCACUUCUCACGAACGCGCGUCAGUGUCGGUAGGAACUGGGUCUCAAAGGCGCCGGGAAGGUAGGUCCGUCUCUUCGGAGUCAGACUGUUAUAGACCGGCGUUUUCAUGGCUCGGAUCCCACCGAGGUGCCGCGGCACGUGCCUCUUUUGGCUGGGGUCCCGUCGUCCCGGUCGGUAGUCGACUGUGGUGGACUGCGUGCAGUGCAUCGCGACUGCUGCCGGUCGCUUCGGCGGUGACCUCACACCACGUGCCCAGGACGCUGGCGGUGACAUGGCCCCAUCCGACCCGUCUUGAAACACGGACCAAGGAGUCUAACAUGUGCGCGAGUCUUUGAGCGAUCGAAACUCGCAGGCGGAAUGAAAGUGAAGGCGGCUCCGGCCGCUGAGGUGAGAACCCCUCCUCGCGGGGGGCGCAUCAUCGACCGACCUAUUCUACUCUUAGGAAGGUUUGAGUAAGAGCGCAUCUGUUGGGA